rnacentral:rRNA from 1 species
UACAGAGGUCUCAAGCGUUGUUCGGAUUCAUUGGGCGUAAAGGGUGCGUAGGCGGCGGGGCAAGUCUGAUGUGAAAUCCCGGGGCUCAACCCCGGAACUGCAUUGGAUACUGCUCUGCUUGAGCACUGGAGAGGAGACUGGAAUUUACGGUGUAGCAGUGAAAUGCGUAGAUAUCGUAAGGAAGACCAGUGGCGAAGGCGAGUCUCUGGACAGUUGCUGACGCUGAGGCACGAAGGCCAGGGGAGCAAACGGGG